ensembl:snoRNA small nucleolar RNA SNORD113/SNORD114 family
UGGAUCGAUGAUGAGCGCUGGAGCAAUAUGAUCCGUGGAUCAUGAUUAGAGGUCUGGGAGUCUGAGGUCCAC